rnacentral:rRNA from 1 species
CUACGUGCCAGCAGCCGCGGUAAUACGGAAGGUCCUGGCGUUAUCCGGAUUUAUUGGGUUUAAAGGGAGCGCAGGCUGCACUUUAAGCGUGUUGUGAAAUGUACCGGCUCAACCGGUAACGUGCAGCGCGAACUGGGGUGCUUGAGUACGAAGAGGGAAGGCGGAACUCGUGGUGUAGCGGUGAAAUGCUUAGAUAUCACGAGGAACUCCGAUCGCGAAGGCAGCUUUCCGUUUCGGAACUGACGCUGAGGCUCGAAAGUGCGGGUAUCGAACAGGAUUAGAUACCCUGGUAGUCCGCACGGUAAACGAUGGAUGCCCGCUGUCGGCGCCUUGCGCCGGCGGCCAAGCGAAAGCGUUAAGCAUCCCACCUGGGGAGUACGCCGGCAACGGUGAAACUCAAAGGAAUUGACGGGGGCCCGCACAAGCGGAGGAACAUGUGGUUUAAUUCGAUGAUACGCGAGGAACCUUACCCGGGCU